AUGAUUUUCAUGAUGUUUGACUCAUUUAAGGCGCUGAUAUUUUCAGUAAUUUGUACUUUCGUUAUACCUCAGUUGGUGUCAGGGAGAGCAACCGAAAGCCCUGCUCUGGCCGAACUGCGCCAGGUUCUUGCAACAGACGAUCCGUGCACCCUUGAGGCGGGAUCAAAAGCGCCAGUCUACGGGCAGAAGCACCUAUGCGCGGAACUGUUCCAGAAGUUCUUCACCCUGCCGGCGGACCAGCGGCACAACUGCUCGGACGCCAUGGACUCGGACUGCCGGAAAGUGGGUGACACGUGGAAGUGCACGGUCCGCACAUGGCCGAUGGGUAAAAUGGUCAACGCCUCCGUCUACGAGACGCAGCCCCUAGCCGCGUGUCUGAGCGGCCUCAAGGAAUAGAUCAGCCAAAAGGAGACCCAUGAGAACACGAUCACGUGGGUAAAGAUACUCAAAGGGAGGUUCUCGCCACCACCAAAAGGAGCUAAGUUCACAAUUCCCCCUCAUCUUUAAACAUGGAAAUGGAGGAAUCUGCACAACUUUCAAACUCAGGGCUAGGGCCUAGAGGUCUUGUCUAGAGUGCUUGACAUGUUAGCAGGCAUGUCGGCAUAUAGUUACUUUCCAGCCAAAGUAUCACAAACGCCAUGCGACGUUUAACAAUUUCCGCCGCCAUUUCAUAUUUUUACAGAGAAAUUGUUCAAUGAGGCUGUCCAAAAAUUACAUUGAACUUUCUUUGUGCUGCCGAUAUAAUUCGGUGAAAUUCUCAAACACAUUCAAUCAACAAAUUCUCUGUAAAAUAAGAAAAUGACGGAGGAAAUUUUGAAACGUUGCAUGGCGCUUGUGAUACUUUCGCGGGAAGGUAGAUGAUAUGGAGAAAUUAGAGCCCAAACGGCCACUUACCUUUUAACACAAAAAAUGUCACUGCUAAUCUUCGGAUAAAACAUUUCGAAACAGGAUGGCCAAGAAUACUCUUAAACGAGCAAGGAUUCUUCCGCAAAAAUGAGUAAAAUGUCCGAUAUUUUGUCAUCUCGCGACCUCAGUAAUUUAUUAUUUUAUUAUAAUUUUAUAGUUUUGUUGAAGUUGUAAUUUUAAACAACACCCGACCUUAUGACCCCUUGUAUAUGACCUUCCGAAUUCUCGCAAUCGAAUAACACACAAAGUCCCGGCGCGGACAAACUAUAUUGUGGACAGCAUCCCUCGUUUCGUGGAACAAGUUUCGACUAACCGAACUGCGGGACAAUUAUUGUAACUUAUAGACAAAGACAACAAAAGGGAUUUGGAGGGAUCCUAUUGGUGAAAGGAGGGGGUGGCAAUGAACAUAAGGAGGUAGGUGAUGGACUAACUAACGGCAACCCACUAAAGACCCGACAGUUGGUCCAUCAUUUUCUUCCUUAGUCUAUAAGAACCAACCACGCCAACCAAAAGGCUCGCUCCAUACCCUCUAUGUUUUCUUUGUCUAUCGCUUUGUCCAUCCGUUUCAAUAAUCGGCCCACUGAGAAGCAUGUCGAAUAAUUCCACGAACCGCGCUCGUUUGGAUAAAACCGAGGAAGCGUUCAUUAAUUACGUAACAUUCUGAGGGGAAAGGGUAAUGAGCUUGCGUAACGCUUUGAAAUAUGGUUGGUGGGGGGGGGGGGGGUUGUCAGCAUUAUGUAACGUUCCUUUUGGUAAAAACCCACAAAAUCAAAAAUGCAUUAUCCUCAUUUCUUCGACGUUUUUUCACACUAUAACAAAAUACAUCAAAUUUCGUCCAGCGACAUAUUUGGCAUAUUUUUGUCAUGAGAAAUGUGGUGUGUUACUAAUAUCUUCGCUCGGUAACGCGGCAGCACAGGCCUUUCACCCGUCUUUCCCCUCUGUUAUGUCCAGUAGUUUACGUCCGCGCGUUAAAUUGGAAACAGUGACUUGGUCCAAGUGUUAUAUUUUAGUUCGUAUGUAAAAUUAUAUUGACAAUAUCGAAAUGAGAAAAUUGAGAGAGAAGGAGGUGUUGUUGUGGUAACUCAUUUUUUAAAUAAAAUGUUCCUUUCUUUUUCUUCCUUUGAUUCAUCUUGUUUAAUUAUCAUUGGUAAAUAUUUGGUUUUGUGUCUGUCCUUAAAAAUUUCGAUAUGAUUUAUACCUUAUAACUUUUUUUUUAAAUGAAAGAAUUUCUCCAUGUCCAAGGCUUGGUAGAGAUUUGUAUAUAAGCCUUUCCAGGCGAUGGCAUCCAUAUUAAUCUCAAUAAGUAGUAGCUGUGUAGAAAGAAGGUAUUAAAAAAUGAUUAAAAGAGAAAAUACACCAAGAAGCACGCAAUCUUUGGUCAACCGAAUUGUAAAUCGAUCUCUUAGAGUCAAAUACGUCCAAUUUUGAGCGUUUGAUUGCGCGUACACCGCGCUGCAACACAGUAAAAGUACAAAAUAUAAAAGAAAAGAACUAAAGUGCUAUGAAAAUCACUAAAGAUGACACGGAGCCACCUUAAUAUUCACAAAAUACGCAUUUUAUUUUCCUUUAAUACAUAUCCCCCUCCCCAUCAAUUGAAAUGAGAAUAAACCAUGCAGAGCGUAUAAACAUUUCAAAAUCUUGAGUUGAAAAACUCUAACUCCGCGAGUGUAAAUAUUAGAACCUAAUACAGAGCGUGUGAGCAGCGCGAAACGCGCACUUUUUCCCCCAUCAAUUUAAAUACAAAUAAUUAAUUUAGAAUGUGCAAACAUUUCAAAAUCAUGAGUUGAAAAACGCGGACUCCACGAGUUUAAAUAUUAGAG
rnacentral:lncRNA from 1 species